UACGUAGGGGGCAAGCGUUGUCCGGAUUUAUUGGGCGUAAAGAGCGUGUAGGCGGUUUGGUAGGUCCGCUGUGAAAACUCGAGGCUCAACCUCGAGACGCCGGUGGAAACCAUCAGACUGAGUCCGGAAGAGGAGAGUGGAAUUCCUGGUGUAGCGGUGAAAUGCGCAGAUAUCAGGAAGAACACCCGUGGCUAAGGCGGCUCUCUAGUACGGUACUGACGCUAGACGCGAAAGCGUGGGGAGCGAAACAGG
rnacentral:rRNA from 1 species